rnacentral:lncRNA from 1 species
GGGGACUCUUGGUGAGCACCGGCUGAGUGGCCCACAGCAGGGCUUUGGGGGAACCAGUUGGCCAGCUGGAGAAAGUGGGGAGUCCUUCCAUGUCCCUGUGCAGCCUCCCCUGGAGUUCUUUCUGUUCUAGUAGUUGUCACUUUCGGCACACGAGAGCUAGGAUGUUAUCUAUAGUGGAGCUACAGAUCAAAGAAGAUAUAACCUUCACUUUAAACAGCAGAAGCAAUGGGCUAAGGGUCCUGUGGUAUUUCCUUUGACAAAGCAGGACAGGACCACAAGCAAGUCAUACAAGUGAUUUCUAGAAGCUAGAAAAGGAAAGAAAACAGAUUCUAUUCCAGGACUUUGAAAAGGAAUGCAGCUCUGUCAACACCUUGAUGUUAGAACAUCUGACCUCUAGAACUGUAAGAGAAUAAAUUGAAGGGCCG